rnacentral:rRNA from 1 species
AUUGAACGCUGGCGGUAUGCCUUACACAUGCAAGUCGAACGGUAGAGGGGUAACCCUUAAGAGUGGCGAACGGGUGAGUAAUACAUCGGAACGUGCCCAGUCGUGGGGGAUAACGUAGCGAAAGCUACGCUAAUACCGCAUACGACCUGAGGGUGAAAGCGGGGGAUCUUCGGACCUCGCGCGAUUGGAGCGGCCGAUGGCAGAUUAGGUAGUUGGUGGGGUAAAGGCCUACCAAGCCUGCGAUCUGUAGCUGGUCUGAGAGGACGACCAGCCACACUGGGACUGAGACACGGCCCAGACUCCUACGGGAGGCAGCAGUGGGGAAUUUUGGACAAUGGGCGCAAGCCUGAUCCAGCCAUACCGCGUGCGGGAAGAAGGCCUUCGGGUUGUAAACCGCUUUUGUCAGGGAAGAAAUCUUCUGGGCUAUUACCUCGGGAGGAUGACGGUACCUGAAGAAUAAGCACCGGCUAACUACGUGCCAGCAGCCGCAGUAAAAC